rnacentral:rRNA from 1 species
AUACGUAGGUGACAAGCGUUAUCCGGAUUUACUGGGCGUAAAGGGCGCGUAGGCGGCCCGGUAAGUCUGGAGUGAAAGUCCUGUUUUUAAGAUGGGAAUUGCUUUGGAUACUGUCGGGCUUGAGUGCAGGAGAGGUAAGUGGAAUUCCCAGUGUAGCGGUGAAAUGCGUAGAGAUUGGGAGGAACACCAGUGGCGAAGGCGACUUACUGGACUGUAACUGACGCUGAGGCGCGAAAGUGUGGGGAGCAAACAGGAUUAGAUACCCUGGUAGUCCACACUGUAAACGAUGAAUGCUAGGUGUAGGGGGUAUCGACCCCUUCUGUGCCGCAGUCAACACAAUAAGCAUUCCGCCCGGGGAGUACGGCCGCAAGGUUGAAACUCAAAUGAAUUGACGGG